GUUUCUCCCUCCCUGAAGCCAAGGUAGAACCUCCCCCCUACAGCCAACCCCCACUCUCCUCACUCCUGUUUCCUCUGGGCUCAAGUUUGUGGCCAUUAAAUAGAAGAGGAGAAAGUUUGAACCAGGCAUGAAAUAUUUAUCAGAACCUGAAGAACAUCUCUCUUUCUUCACAAGAAGCUUGUAACACAAUAACUACCACUUAUCGAGCCCCUGCUGAAUGCUUGGAUCUAUGCAAAUAAAAUUUAAUCUGAUCUACAGAACAACUCUAUAAGGUCAGUGGGUAUGUCUAUUUUAUGGAUGGCUCAGAGAGGUUAAGUAAUUUGCCCAAGUUUGUACAACUAGCAAGUGUCAGAUCAGGGACUUGAAUCACAAACCCAUGCUUUUAACCCCUGUGGUACACUGCCUCUCACUUUCUCAAGGUCAGAAGGGAAGGGCUUCAGGUCCACCAUAUGAAGUGCCUACGGAAUGUCUUGGGGAAG
rnacentral:lncRNA from 10 species